AGUGAACGCUGGCGGUAGGCCUAACACAUGCAAGUCGAACGGCAGCACAGUAAGAGCUUGCUCUUACGGGUGGCGAGUGGCGGACGGGUGAGGAAUACAUCGGAAUCUACUUUUUCGUGGGGGAUAACGUAGGGAAACUCACGCUAAUACCGCAUACGACCUACGGGUGAAAGCAGGGGAUCUUCGGACCUUGCGCGAUUGAAUGAGCCGAUGUCGGAUUAGCUAGUUGGCGGGGUAAAGGCCCACCAAGGCGACGAUCCGUAGCUGGUCUGAGAGGAUGAUCAGCCACACUGGAACUGAGACACGGUCCAGACUCCUACGGGAGGCAGCAGUGGGGAAUAUUGGACAAUGGGCGCAAGCCUGAUCCAGCCAUACCGCGUGGGUGAAGAAGGCCUUCGGGUUGUAAAGCCCUUUUGUUGGGAAAGAAAAGCAGCAGGUUAAUACCCCGCUGUUCUGACGGGACCCAAAGAAUAAGCACCGGCUAACUUCGU
rnacentral:rRNA from 1 species